rnacentral:lncRNA from 1 species
GGUGAACCAUCGGGGUCAAGAGAAAUAAAGAAAUUCCAGCUCAUCGACAGCAUUGAUGAAAAAGUUAUAAAAGAUCUUCGCCUCUCAAGUCACAACACCGCAGAUGACAUAUUUCGUGUCAUGGAAAACCGUUUUGGUAAUAAAACAAGUAUUGCUAUUGAGAUUGUGGAAGAAAUCCAAAGUACCCCGGUUAUUAGAUCUCAUCAACCAAAGAAAAUAAUUGAGCUCAUACAGACAGUUGAGAAAGCCCUCUCAGACCUGAGUGACCUUGAUGAAGUUGGUGCAAUAAAAAAUCCACUUGUCAUCAGGUCUAUUGAAAGUAAGCUCCCUGAUGUGCUAAAGAAGGAGUGGCUUCUUCAUGCAGCAGAAAAAGGCAAUGCCCUAACUCAAGCACGAAGGUUUGACUAUCUCCUCACUUUCCUUAAGAGCCAGGAAGUCAUUUAUGAACAGCUGGAUCAGUUAAGUGACGAGCCACCCAAGUCUAGGCCCGAACAAAGACAAGCCCGAACCAGGGCCUCAAACCAAGCCAGCAGCCAAUCAUUGGGAUGUGUGGUCUGUGGAGAAGGAGGGCAUAGAAGAAAGCUCUACUUCUGCAGAAAAUUCCGCGUGCUAAAGCUGUCUGAAAAGAAGGAUGCAGUGAGAAAGCUUGGAGGAUGCAAAAGAUGCCUUGAAGUUCAUUCAGAUUGUGAUGGCUGUUCCAAGACUGAGUUCAUCUGCAAAGAUCCAAGCUGCAAGGGAAGUUCUGGGCAUCACAUCUAUCUAUGUCCAAAUCGGGAGAAGGCUAAACAUGGAACAGUGGGAGGAGGCAACAACCGGAAGAGUUAUACAGAAGCUCAAGAAGAAUUUGUUCAAAAACUUCCUCCUGAACUUGCCCAACAGUGUCGACACGUCUUUUCUAACACUGCAUCAAGAAAUGUACAGAUCUCCAGUCGACGAAAUCUCCUGGAAGAAUACGGUAUAGCAGAAUGGCCAGUAAUCAUGAUGCUGCUUGAGGUCACUGCAAAUGCAGGUCAAAAGGUUGGAACCCUAAUUGACCUUGCGUCAGACACCAACUACAUCACACACAAAGCGGCAAAGCGCUUAAAGUUGAGAAGCGAAGCCAUUACUCUUGUUGUCCAUGGAGUUGGAGGUAUGGAGGUCACAGUAAAAACAAUGCGAUACCUCCUAAAGAUCCGUGUCCGUAAUGACAAAUCGACCUAUAACUCCCACCAGCUAGUCUGCUAUGGACUUGAUGAUAUCGCAGACAUCCACCAUCCUGUCACAGCCAAGCAACUCCAGAAGUUUUUCCCAGAUAUCCCCCUCUUUGAAUUACAAAGACCAAAAGAAGUAGACCUUCUAAUUAGUCACAAGGAAGGUAGACUGGCUCCUCAGAGGGUGAGCAUGGUGGGAGACCUUGUGCUAUGGGACGGCCCACUUGGGAAAACAGUUGCUGGCAGCCAUCCUGAGCUUUCUGAACAAACCACCAUUUCAGCUCAUGCAUCGCAAACCCACUUUGCAAGAUCAAUGAGGACAGCAGCUGUAAACUACAAAGAACUUACCCACUCCUCACCUACUAUCAAGCACUCAUACGCUACAACCACUGCUCAAGACUUCCUUAACUGGUGGAAGUGGGAUAGUAUCGGCGCUGCCUGCAAUCCAAAAUGUGGCGGUUGUCGGUGUGGAAACUGCCAACCUGGUGGUAAGGACAUGACCCUAGCAGAAGAGCGGGAAUUGGAGGUCGUAAAGAGUGGUUUGACCUAUAUCAGUGCUGAUGAACACAGUGAAAAUCCCCAUUGGCAUGCAAGCUAUCCAUGGCUCGAUGAUCCAUCCACUCUGCCAAACAAUAGAAGAGGAGUGGAGGCAACCUUCCUCAGAACAGAAAGAAAGCUUGCCAAAGAACCACUGUGGAAGGCAGCUUAUACUGUUCAAAUACAUGAAAUGGUUGACCGUCGUGCAGCAAAGAAACUGUCCAGAGAAGAGCUACUUACUUGGACUGGACCUCUUUGGUACAUAAGCCACCUCAUCGCUCCCAACCCACACUCUGUUACAACUCCGGUCAGACUUGUCUGGAAUAGCAGUCAGAAAUACCAAGGUCAGAGUCUUAAUGAUCAUCUGCUAAAAGGUCCAGAUGUCCUGAACCUAAUCAGAGUAGUCCUCCU